GAUGAACGCUAGCGGCAGGCCUAAUACAUGCAAGUCGGACGGGAUCCAGCUGGUAGCUUGCUACCGGUUGGUGAGAGUGGCGCACGGGUGCGUAACGCGUGAGCAACCUACCCAUAUCAGGGGGAUAGCCCGAAGAAAUUCGGAUUAACACCGCAUGACACAAAUUGACCGCAUGGUUGAUUUGUCAAAUAUUCAUAGGAUAUGGAUGGGCUCGCGUGACAUUAGCUAGUUGGUGGGGUAACGGCCCACCAAGGCGACGAUGUCUAGGGGCUCUGAGAGGAGAAUCCCCCACACUGGUACUGAGACACGGACCAGACUCCUACGGGAGGCAGCAGUAAGGAAUAUUGGUCAAUGGGGGCAACCCUGAACCAGCCAUGCCGCGUGCAGGAUGACUGCCCUAUGGGUUGUAAACUGCUUUUGUUAGGGAAUAAACCCCACUACGUGUAGUG
rnacentral:rRNA from 1 species